ensembl:lncRNA
GCCCACUUUAUUCUCAGCAGCUUAAUCACUGACCCAAGACCCUCUUCCCACAGAUUUCAUUGGAAAUGUCAUUUAAGAUGCCAGAAAGGGAAAGUUUUUAAGUCAUAUUUAUUGAAAUUGAAUUUACAUUCAGUAAAACUCACUCAAAAUUUCUGACAAAUGGAAUUACCUCUAUAAUCAAAGUGUAGAACAGUUCCUCAGACCCAACCCUCAAAAUGCUAUGCAACAAACUCCUCCACUGAUCUGUCCUCUAUACAAGGGGUCAAAUUUAAUCAUCAAAAUGAUUAGACAAAACUGCAAGCACAAAACCCUGAGGUUUAGGAUAGUCAAAAGAAUGGGAUUUAAAAAUAACCUUUGUAAAUUAAAGCAGCUAGCCAAAUUCUCUUAAGAUAGUUGUAGAAUAGCUAGUCAGGUUACUGUGUCAAGAUUCAGGCUGGAUCUUAUUUAAAAAAAACUGUUUUAAAUAAUGGAAUUGAAUUCUGCCGAAAAUUCUCUACAGGGCAGAUAUAUAUUCUUACAGAUACUUGGCAGUUUGUUUUUUUUUUAAUUCACCCCUGCUACCACCAUGAAAAGGACAAUUAGCAAAAAGCUCUGUUCUGUAUAUACCAAUCACAUGUUCAAAUACACCUUAUCUCCUGGAAAAGCUUCUUUAAAGCACCAGCCCUGUAAGAGAAGUAUCACAGUAGAUAAUUAGAGCAGCAAUUACUAAAUUAGAUAUUAAGAAAAUAUAGUGACUAAACCAUGUUUAUAAAAGCAGUUCAGGUAAGGAAAAUGAAUUCCCCAAUGAACUACAUAUUGUCAAAUCAGGCAUAGCAAUAUUCUGACAUUAAAAAAAAAAUUAACUCAAAAUGGCCACCAUUGCCAAAGAUAAACAGCUUUAAAGGUUAGAUGCCAAUCACUUAAAAAUACUUUUGUAAAAUACUACUCUUGGCAUAAUAAAGUAUUAUCUAUUUACUACAGCCCCCCCCCAUUUUAUUUAAAAUAUAAUGUUUAAAAGGGGGAGGAUGUGAUUGCACUUAAUAAAUUCCUGCCCAUCAAAUUGGCCUCAGGUAAAUCCUUUAACCCAUCAGAGCAGAGGAUAUCCAAUCAGAUUAGGGUUCUCAUCCUUGGCCAAGAAUUCUAUCCAACUAUUUAAUAACUCAAGCCAGAUUUUCUCCAUUUGGUCCAUACCUUAAGCUUGUCAGCAUCUUGUCAGCCUGGUAGGAAAG